ACUCCUAAACUUCCCCCCGCCCCUACUUCUUCGGCAGAAGGCCCACAUUGGGCGCCCGAAGCCGCGAACCUCUACCUUGUCCUACUAUUGGGCGGCUCGCAUGCCACUCGCUGCUUCAGCUGACCAAUAGCGUUUGGACAGCCCUCGUGAGGUUGCCGCCCAUAAACAAAAUGCACUCUUCCUCCUCCCCUCCGCGGCUCCUCCCCUAACUGCCCCUUCUCUCAUCUCUGUCAUCUUUGAUUGGCCUAGGAGACACCCAAUCCGCUAUCUCAAGCAUCAACUGGUGAGCGGAAACUUCACUCAGAGCAGUUUUAACAGUCUAUUGGUCAAUGUUCUCAACUCUUCCCGCCCACCAGCGCCCUGUGUAGAGAGGCCAGCUGUCUCUGGUUAUUCAGUGAUCCAAGAGCUGGGAAACUAUUGGUCGACAGAGGCCGUCAGACCGGACUGUAGUGAUCGGUGAUUGUCUUGGAUCCCCCAGUCAUUCAUAAAGACCAGCACCAACGUCUUCCAAAUGCCUAUUCCUGUUUCUAUUUUGACUUCUUCUCAUCAAUCAUAAGUAAUGUCAAUGGAAUCUAGAGUGGAUAAUAAUAUCCAGCAUAAUAGAGGCAAGAUGGCCACAGCAGAAUGUACUUCUGUUUCUUACUCUAUUGGUGGAUCGUGUGAAUGCCCAGGAACACUGUAAUAAAAGUGUGACAAUGGAAACAGAAGAUGUGAAUACAACCGAGGCAGACUCUUCAUCAAUGAAAGCAGCUACAGAGUCAAUAAAUUACCAGUGGGGAGCCCUCGGGUAUCAUCAGUAUAUCAAAUCUGCAUGUCUUAAAGAGAUAAAAGAAAUAAAGCAAGCCUAUCAGCUACUAGAGUAGAACUUUGAAUAUUAACUCUGAACUUUUUUUGAAAGAAGGGUCAUGUAAUGUGCAGCAAGGUGCUUAUAAUGAUUUCACAGUCUGUCACCCUCUACCCAUACCUGUACCCACACUUUUUGCCAUCAUAAGCUUUGAUGAGAAUUAAUAGACUCUGCAGCUGUCUUCAUGGAGACUUGAGGGAGAAUGGUCAAUGAUUGGUCCAGACACAGUCCUUUAUCUUCAUGAAGGACUGAUAGAUUGGUGCAGACACUCUCGCCAUAUCUUCCUUCUGUCUGAACAGACAGAACCCUUCUGUGCUGUCCCCUGAUGCUACAACAUUAGGCCCUGAUUAAAG
rnacentral:lncRNA from 1 species